GCAUUAUGAUCAAGACUGUGUCAGAAAGUUGUACAAAGCCGAGGGCACACGAGAGGUAUGACGCUUCCAACAUCGAUCUCUACUUCAUGAAACUCCUGUGGUCAUUCAGAGGGAUGCUAAUGGAUAGAGUUGUACACUGCUCCAUUAUAAAAAAGAGGAUUUAAAUGUGUUACUGACAGGUUUCACUUCUCUUCCCCCCACCCGAAAAUGGGGGCUCCCUGGUGCUGGAGAAGGCCACGCCACUCUGCUGCCCACCUGCAUCCUCUGUCCUGUAACAACAGAUGUGAGAUCCAUUGGGCACCAUUUGCCUGCUCCCACUACUGUAAUAAGCAUCAUUACUAAUUAAAUUAUCACAUCUACUUUUGCAAAAAUGAUGG